GACGAACGCUGGCGGCGUGCUUAACACAUGCCAGUCGAACGGAAAGACCCUGCUUUUGUGGGGUGCUCGAGUGGCGAACGGGUGAGUAACACGUGAGUAACCUGCCCUUGACUUUGGGAUAACUUCAGGAAACUGGGGCUAAUACCGGAUAGGAGCUCCUGCUGCAUGGUGGGGGUUGGAAAGUUUCGGCGGUUGGGGAUGGACUCGCGGCUUAUCAGCUUGUUGGUGGGGUAGUGGCUUACCAAGGCUUUGACGGGUAGCCGGCCUGAGAGGGUGACCGGCCACAUUGGGACUGAGAUACGGCCCAGACUCCUACGGGAGGCAGCAGUGGGGAAUAUUGUACAAUGGGCGGAAGCCUGAUGCAGCAACGCCGCGUGCGGGAUGACGGCCUUCGGGUUGUAAACCGCUUUCGCCUGUGACGAAGCGUGAGUGACGGUAAUGGGUAAAGAAGCACCGGCUAACUACGUG
rnacentral:rRNA from 1 species